GUACUCACUUUGGCAGCACAUAUACUAAAAUUGGAACAAUACGGAGAAGAUUAGCAUAGCCUCUGUGCAAGGAUGACACACAAAUUUCUGAAGCAGUCCAUAUUUAA
ensembl:snRNA U6 U6 spliceosomal RNA